AUUCCCUUAGUAACGGCGAGUGAACAGGGAAAAGCCCAGCACCGAAGCCUGCGGUAAUUUUACUGUUAGGCAUUGUGGUGUUUGGGUCGGCUCGUGGGAUUGCCGCUCCACUCGAAGUCCAGCAUUGAGUAUGGUUUCUGGAUUUGGCCCAUAGAGGGUGAAAGGCCCGUGCGGGUGGAGUUUCAGACAUGAUUGGCAAUUCACCAGGCCGGCCUUAGAGUCGGGUUGUUUGGGAAUGCAGCCCAAAGUGGGUGGUAAACUCCAUCCAAGGCUAAAUACUAGCACGAGUCCGAUAGCGAACAAGUACCGUGAGGGAAAGUUGAAAAGUACUUUGAAGAGAGAGUAAACAGUACGUGAAACCGCAUGAAGGUAAACGGGUGGCGUCAAGCUGCAAGCCCAGAGGAUUCAGUCGGUCAGGAUGUUGUGUAUGUGCCUAGCGCAUCUAUCAGUCGAUUAUAGUUGAAUAGUCUGUUUGGUUAAAACAGGCCUGGUCGCAAGGCUAGGAUUUGCAGUCCGUUUGGUUGGCGGAGCAAGCUAUUCGAUUGUGGACUGUCUGGCCGAUGCACUUUCUCUGUGGUGAACACCACGACCGGUGGUACUGUCGGUCUGCUUUGGUCAAGUCCUUGUUAAUUGACACUUGUUGUUAGUUAGCCUGGAUCACAUGCAAUUUCAGUGCACGGUGUUCAGAUGCUUCGGUAUUUGAGCAUGUUAUCGGAUGCUGGUUGUAAACGGAUUAUGUUGUAAGAUUGUAAAACUUGCAAUAUAGUCUGGUGGACCUUAGUGGUAAGAAUAACCGUACAGCGCACUGGUGUUAUCGGUCUCUAAAUCUAAUUAAUGCCCACAUUACAAGUGGUUAAUGCUGGUGUUGUCCUAAUUUGCCUAUGCUUCGAUCUGAUUGUCGUGUCGCCUGCACAAAGUAGGCCCGACUUUGGUCUGGUGUAGGAUCAAGUUGGUGGCAGUAUUGGUUGUAUUGAUUAGUGUGGACCUAAUAGUCUGUGGUGUAGUGGUAGACGAGCUACCCGACCCGUCUUGAAACACGGACCAAGGAGUUUAACAUGCGCGCAAGUCAAAGGGCUUUACGAAACCCUACGGCGCAGUGAAAGUGAAGCCUCGUCUUGUCUCGGGGUGUGGUGAGAUCCUGCUGUUACUCGCAUCGUCUUGUGUGCUAGCACUAGGCAAAGAGCAGUAGGCGCAUCACCGGCCCGUCCCAUGAUGUGGCCGUCAGCUUCGGUUGGCGCGUCA
rnacentral:rRNA from 1 species